rnacentral:rRNA from 1 species
UACAGAGGUCCCAAGCGUUGUUCGGAUUCACUGGGCGUAAAGGGUGCGUAGGCGGUCGGGUAAGUCUGAUGUGAAAUCUCACAGCUUAACUGUGAAACUGCAUUGGAUACUAUCCGGCUCGAGGAAUGGAGGGGAGACUGGAAUACUUGGUGUAGCAGUGAAAUGCGUAGAUAUCAAGUGGAACACCAGUGGCGAAGGCGAGUCUCUAGACAUUUCCUGACGCUGAGGCACGAAAGCCAGGGGGAGCAAACGGG